GGAGAGGUGGCAGAGCGGCUGAAUGCGCAUCAUUGCUAAUGAUGUGAUCCUUUUUGGAUCCGCGGGUUCGAAUCCCGCCCUCUCCGCCA
rnacentral:tRNA from 1 species